rnacentral:rRNA from 1 species
GUGGGGAAUCUUGCGCAAUGGGCGAAAGCCUGACGCAGCCAUGCCGCGUGAAUGAUGAAGGUCUUAGGAUUGUAAAAUUCUUUCAUCGGGGACGAUAAUGACGGUACCCGGAGAAGAAGCCCCGGCUAACUUCGUGCCAGCAGCCGCGGUAAUACGAAGGGGGCUAGCGUUGCUAGGAAUUACUGGGCGUAAAGGGCGCGUAGGCGGACAGUUUAGUCAGAGGUGAAAGCCCAGGGCUCAACCUUGGAAUUGCCUUUGAUACUGGCUGUCUUGAGUUUGGGAGAGGUGAGUGGAACUCCGAGUGUAGAGGUGAAAUUCGUAGAUAUUCGGAAGAACACCAGUGGCGAAGGCGACUCACUGGCCCAAUACUGACGCUGAGGCGCGAAAGCGUGGGGAGCAAACAGGAUUAGAUACCCCGGUAGUCC